AUCGUUACCGAGAAUGGUGAUAGGUAUUGAAAUGUACUGAUACUGCGGCAUUUUCCAUUAUGAAAGUUAAGUCAAAAAGAUUUUGUUUCGUUACGAGACUGUAUGGUUGCUGAAUGUAAAAUGUUUACAUGUUUAUUUACAGGAAAUCUAGCCUGUAAUUUCCUAUCUGUCAAAUCACCUUAUCAGUUAUCACAUGGCCUGAAACUGAUGUUGCUUGCUACUUGUACCGGUUGUAUGUUAAUGUAUCAACCAGUGAAGAAACACUUGACAGCAAAAGUGUGUAAAAUUGUGUCCACCAGAUGGUGGAGUGUGUGUUCGUGAGUGACGAAGCCGCCAUUUGCUGUUGAGACAGUGUACGGGAAUGUGUUGCUGCUUAAUGACGGUGUUCUUCGCUUUUACAUUAAAAAAAAAAUGUUUCCCCGCCAUUCGACCAAGCUGAAUCGAAAGUGAACAAUUCAGCCAAUUCUACAGCAAUUUGAGCCUUUUUCCACGUGAUCGCUGUCGUGUGAUGAAGAUGCGUCUCUGAGAGGAUCUCUACUAUACUGCAAGACAAAAAUGUGAUGAAACCAGGAAAUCUGAAAUGGUAAUAAUGUACUUUUAAGUUAAAUCAAGUAGGGUAGCAUUUUUUUCUUGAUGUUGAAAACAAGUGACAUCUUUUUUGUGCUUCCAAAUAAGAAAGCUUUUGUGAAAAGUUUGUUGUCAGUUUCUAAUCGAUCAGUACAGAAAUUCCCCUACAACUUGAAAAACUUAAGAAAAUUUUCACAAAGUGAUCUUUGGUAGUCUUCAUGAUUUCUUUAGUAAUCUAAAUUUUCAGUAUAUCAUUGCCUUAACUACAACAUGUUAUACAACCACUUAUGAUACAGUUGCAAGCUAAAGUGAGCAAAAUUCAAAAAAGUGUAUUCUUGUAGUUUCGAGAGACUGUUUAGUUUAACUUUAUGCUUUUCAUUAUAUUACAUACGACGAGACAUUUCCUUCCCAAUAUUAAUUUAACAUUUUUUCAAUUGUUUUAACGGCUUCUGAGUUGAGCUGCAGCCAGUUGGCGGAAGUUGUGAAGAAUUUAGCUGUUGCAAUCAGUUUAUGACUGAGGCAUCCCAUGCAGAAACCAGAAAUGAUAAGCAUGGCGGAGAUCUUGCCUUUCUCAACGUGCGGUGCCGUGUCAACAAGAUGUCUCUUUGAUGAGGUCUCUACUAUGUUGGAGAACAAAAAUGUGAAGAAAACAGGAAAUCUGAAAUGGUUUCCAUGGUCAGUUUGAUGUUUGAGCUGUUUAUGGUGUUGCUGUUUGGUGUGAAGUGGGUUUACAGUCAUUUUCCACCCGAGAGAUGCGCUGAAAUGGAGCUUCGUCAGACUUGCAGUUCAACAUCAUACUCAAUGUGUUAUUUCCCUAUGUUUGUGUCCGUGAGUGUUGAGGCUGUUGGGCUAAACAGUUAACCUCUUUUUUUUUGUGUUGGUGAGUGUUACGGAAGCUGCAUCAUUGUUUUGUUGAAUUGUCAUUGUGUCUGCAGUUUACCGUUUAUAUGUUAGGAAGAGAAAAAACAGAAUCUUGGGGAAUUUAUAUCAAACAAAUAAUAAACAAGGUUUCGGGAUUGGGAAAGGAAUGUGGAGGUUGUCAGGUGGGAGGGUGAUGACUUGAAUUUUCAUAUCUCAAUAUAUAAUGAGGUAUGUUAAUAUGUACUGACGCGAUACAUGUGGAUAAAAACUUAA